rnacentral:rRNA from 1 species
CACGUAGGGUGCGAGCGUUGUCCGGAAUUAUUGGGCGUAAAGAGCUCGUAGGCGGUGUGUCGCGUCGGCCGUGAAAACCUGCAGCUUAACUGUGGGCUUGCGGUCGAUACGGGCAUCACUGGAGUUCGGCAGGGGAGACUGGAAUCCUGGUGUAGCGGUGAAUGCGCAGAUAUCAGGAGGAACACCGGUGGCGAAGGCGGGU